rnacentral:rRNA from 1 species
UGGGGAAUAUUGGACAAUGGGCGCAAGCCUGAUCCAGCCAUGCCGCGUGUGUGAAGAAGGCUUUCGGGUUGUAAAGCACUUUCAGUGGGGAAGAAGGCUUACSGRUUAAUACCCGGGAAGAAGGACAUCACCCACAGAAGAAGCACCGGCUAACUCCGUGCCAGCAGCCGCGGUAAUACGGAGGGUGCGAGCGUUAAUCGGAAUUACUGGGCGUAAAGCGCGCGUAGGUGGCUUGAUAAGCCGGUUGUGAAAGCCCCGGGCUCAACCUGGGAACGGCAUCCGGAACUGUCAGGCUAGAGUGCAGGAGAGGAAGGUAGAAUUCCCGGUGUAGCGGUGAAAUGCGUAGAGAUCGGGAGGAAUACCAGUGGCGAAGGCGGCCUUCUGGACUGACACUGACACUGAGGUGCGAAAGCGUGGGUAGCAAACAGGAUUAGAUACCCUGGUAGUCCACGCCGUAAACGAUGUCGACUAGCCGUUGGGUUCCUCGAGGACUUAGUGGCGCAGUUAACGCGAUAAGUCGACCGCCUGGGGAGUACGGCCGCAAGGUUA